UACGUAGGGGGCAAGCGUUGUCCGGAAUCAUUGGGCGUAAAGAGCGUGUAGGCGGUCCGGUAAGUCGGCUGUGAAAGUCCAGGGCUCAACUGGGGAGGGUCACGCGAUACUGGUCGACUCGAAGGCAGGAGAGGGUAGUGGAAUUCCCGGUGUAGUGGUGAAAUGCGUAGAUAUCGGGAGGAACACCAGUGGCGAAGGGCGGGUUGCUGGGCUGACACUGACGCUGGAGGCGCGAAAGCUAGGGGAGCGAACGGG
rnacentral:rRNA from 1 species